GUGUCCUUCAUAUUCAUUGCUUUCAUUUCUUUCCAUAUAUAUUUUUUGGUACAUUCCUAAGUCCAUAUUCUGUAGCAUUUCAGAGCUUAAACAACUAUAUUUUAUAAGGCUAUCAUGGAGGUUGUGUUAGUAUGUCCAUGGGUAGUGUUAUGAGCCUGGUGAUAGUUUGACAAGGCUUUGGUAGAGGCUGUGUUAGUAUGUCCAUGGGUAGUGUUAUGAGCCUGGUGAUAGUUUGACAAGGCUUUGGUAGAGGUUGUGUUAGUGUGUCCAUGGGUAGUGUUAUGAGCCUGGUGAUAGUUUGACAAGGCUUUGGUGGAGGUUGUGUUAGUGUGUCCUUGGGUAGUGUUAUGAGCCUGGUGAUAGUGUGACAAGGCUUUGGUGGAGGCUGUGUUAGUGUGUCCAUGGGUAGUGUUAUGAGCCUGGUGAUAGUUUGACAAGGCUUUGGUGGAGGCUGUGUUAGUAUGUCCAUGGGUAGUGUUAUGAGCCUGGUGAUAGUGUGACAAGGCUUUGGUGGAGGUUGUGUUAGUGUGUCCAUGGGUAGUGUUAUGAGCCUGGUGAUAGUUUGACAAGGCUUUAGUAGAGGCUGUGUUAGUGUGUCCAUG